ACGAAGGGGGCUAGCGUUGCUCGGAAUUACUGGGCGUAAAGGGCGCGUAGGCGGACAGUUUAGUCAGAGGUGAAAGCCCAGGGCUCAACCUUGGAAUUGCCUUUGAUACUGGCUGUCUUGAGUUCGGGAGAGGUGAGUGGAAUGCCGAGUGUAGAGGUGAAAUUCGUAGAUAUUCGGCGGAACACCAGUGGCGAAGGCGACUCACUGGCCCGAUACUGACGCUGAGGCGCGAAAGCGUGGGGAGCAAACAGGA
rnacentral:rRNA from 1 species